rnacentral:rRNA from 1 species
UGGGGAAUAUUGGACAAUGGGCGCAAGCCUGAUCCAGCAAUGCCGCGUGUGUGAAGAAGGCCUUCGGGUUGUAAAGCACUUUUAUCAGGAGCGAAACGCUGUCGGCUAAUACCCGGCGGAACUGACGGUACCUGAGGAAUAAGCACCGGCUAACUUCGUGCCAGCAGCCGCGGUAAUACGAAGGGUGCAAGCGUUAAUCGGAAUUACUGGGCGUAAAGCGUGCGUAGGCGGUUUCUUAAGUCUGCUGUGAAAUCCCCGGGCUCAACCUGGGAAUGGCAGUGGAUACUGGGAGGCUAGAGUGUGUCAGAGGGUGGUGGAAUUCCCGGUGUAGCGGUGAAAUGCGUAGAGAUCGGGAGGAACAUCAGUGGCGAAGGCGGCCACCUGGGACAACACUGACGCUGAGGCACGAAAGCGUGGGGAGCAAACAGGAUUAGAUACCCUGGUAGUCCACGCCCUAAAGCGAUGCGAACUGGAUGUUGGUCUCAACUCGGAGAUCAGUGUCGAAGCUAACGCGUUAAGUUCGCCGCCUGGGGAGUACGGUCGCAAGACUGAAACUCAAAUGAAUUGACGGGGUCAUAUGUUUCCUG